rnacentral:rRNA from 1 species
GAAUCUUGCGCAAUGGGCGAAAGCCUGACGCAGCGACGCCGCGUGAGUGAUGAAGGCCCUCGGGUUGUAAAGCUCUGUGGAGAGGAACGAAUAAGGCUUGGUUAAUAUCCAAGCUGAUGACGGUACCUUUUUAGCAAGCACCGGCUAACUCUGUGCCAGCAGCCGCGGUAAGACAGAGGGUGCAAACGUUGUUCGGAAUUACUGGGCGUAAAGCGCGUGUAGGCGGCUCGGAAAGUCGGAUGUGAAAGCCCUGGGCUCAACCCAGGAAGUGCACCCGAAACUUUCGAGCUGGAGUCCUGGAGAGGAAGGCGGAAUUCUCGGUGUAGAGGUGAAAUUCGUAGAUAUCGAGAGGAACACCGGUGGCGAAGGCGGCCUUCUGGACAGUGACUGACGCUGAGACGCGAAAGCGUGGGGAGCAAACAG